rnacentral:rRNA from 1 species
AACGAACGCUGGCGGCAUGCCUAACACAUGCAAGUCGAACGAGACCUUCGGGUCUAGUGGCGCACGGGUGCGUAACGCGUGGGAACCUGCCCUUAGGUUCGGAAUAACUCCCCGAAAGGGGUGCUAAUACCGGAUAAUGUCUUCGGACCAAAGAUUUAUCGCAUUUGGAUGGGCCCGCGUUGGAUUAGCUAGUUGGUAGGGUAAAAGCCUACCAAGGCGACGAUCCAUAGCUGGUCUGAGAGGAUGAUCAGCCACACUGGGACUGAGACACGGCCCAGACUCCUACGGGAUGCAGCAGUGGGGAAUAUAGGACAAUGGGCGAAAGCCUGAUCCAGCAAUGCCGGGUGAGUGAUGAAGGCCUUAGGGUUGUAAAGCUCUUUUACCCGGGAUGAUAAUGACAGUACCGGGAGAAUAAGCUCCGGCUAACUCCGUG